rnacentral:rRNA from 1 species
CCUACGGGUGGCAGCAGUAGGGAAUCUUUCACAAUGGGCGAAAGCCUGAUGGAGCAACGCCGCGUGCAGGAUGAAGGCCUUCGGGUUGUAAACUGCUUUUAUAAGCGAGAAAUAUGAUGGUAACUUAUGAAUAAGGAUCGGCUAACUACGUGCCAGCAGCCGCGGUCAUACGUAGGAUCCGAGCAUUAUCCGGAGUGACUGGGUGUAAAGAGUUGCGUAGGUGGAAUAAUAAGUAGCUAGUGAAAUCUGGUGGCUCAACCAUUCAGACUAUUAGCUAAACUGUUAAGCUCGAGACCGUUAGGGGUAACUGGAAUUGCUAGUGUAGGAGUGAAAUCCGUAGAUAUUAGAAGGAACACCAAUAGCGUAGGCAGGUUGCUGGGACGGUUCUGACACUAAGGCACGAAAGCGUAGGGAGCAAACGGGAUUAGAUACCCCUGUAGUC